GGAAGUAAAAGUCGUAACAAGGUUUCCGUAGGUGAACCUGCGGAAGGAUCAUUACCGAGUGAGGGCCCUCUGGGUCCAACCUCCCACCCGUGUUUAUUUACCUUGUUGCUUCGGCGGGCCCGCCUUAACUGGCCGCCGGGGGGCUUCCGCCCCCGGGCCCGCGCCCGCCGAAGACACCCCCGAACUCUGUCUGAAGAUUGCAGUCUGAGUGAAAAUAUAAAUUAUUUAAAACUUUCAACAACGGAUCUCUUGGUUCCGGCAUCGAUGAAGAACGCAGCGAAAUGCGAUACGUAAUGUGAAUUGCAAAUUCAGUGAAUCAUCGAGUCUUUGAACGCACAUUGCGCCCCCUGGUAUUCCGGGGGGCAUGCCUGUCCGAGCGUCAUUUCUGCCCUCAAGCCCGGCUUGUGUGUUGGGCCCCGUCCCCCGAUCCCGGGGGACAGGCCCGAAAGGCAGCGGCGGCACCGCGUCCGGUCCUCGAGCGUAUGGGGCUUUGUCACCCGCUCUGUAGGCCCGGCCGGCGCCUGCCACCAACCCAAAUUUUUUAUCCAGGUUGACCUCGGAUCAGGUAGGGAUACCCGCUGAACUUAAGCAUAUCAAUAAGCGGAGGA
rnacentral:misc_RNA from 1 species